UAAUACAUGCAAGUCGAGCGGAUGAAAGGGAGCUUGCUCCCUGGAUUCAGCGGCGGACGGGUGAGUAACACGUGGGCAACCUGCCUGUAAGACUGGGAUAACUCCGGGAAACCGGGGCUAAUACCGGAUAACUUCUUUUCUCGCAUGGGGAGAGGUUGAAAGACGGUUUUGCUGUCACUUACAGAUGGGCCCGCGGCGCAUUAGCUAGUUGGUGGGGUAACGGCCUACCAAGGCGACGAUGCGUAGCCGACCUGAGAGGGUGAUCGGCCACACUGGGACUGAGACACGGCCCAGACUCCUACGGGAGGCAGCAGUAGGGAAUCUUCCGCAAUGGACGAAAGUCUGACGGAGCAACGCCGCGUGAGUGAUGAAGGCCUUCGGGUCGUAAAACUCUGUUAUCAGGGAAGAACAAGUGNCGUUUAACUGACGGCGCCUUGACGGUACCUGACCAGAAAGCCACGGCUAACUACGUGCCAGCAGCCGCGGUAAUACGUAGGUGGCAAGCGUUGUCCGGAAUUAUUGGGCGUAAAGCGCGCGCAGGCGGCUUCUUAAGUCUGAUGUGAAAGCCCACGGCUCAACCGUGGAGGGUCAUUGGAAACUGGGAGGCUUGAGUGCAGAAGA
rnacentral:rRNA from 1 species